rnacentral:rRNA from 9 species
GCGACCCCAGGUCAGGCGGGAUUACCCGCUGAG